UAAAUCCUUUUUGGAUGUUAUUUGUGUAUUUCUUGUCCGCUAUCGUUUUGUUUUUCUUGUAAAGGGAUUCGUAGAGGUGUUUUUUGAGGUCAAGAUAUAGAUAUAUUUUUUGAUAUAAAUAUAGGAAGAUGGUUUAAUUGUAUGUAUCAUCGGGAGNUAGAAG
rnacentral:misc_RNA from 1 species